rnacentral:rRNA from 1 species
CAGGGGGGGGGCGGAGCUAACACAUGCAAGUCGAACGGCAGCACAGAAGAGCUUGCUCUUUGGGUGGCGAGUGGCGGACGGGUGAGUAAUGUCUGGGAAACUGCCCGAUGGAGGGGGAUAACUACUGGAAACGGUAGCUAAUACCGCAUAACGUCGCAGACCAAAGUGGGGGACCUUCGGGCCUCACACCAUCGGAUGUGCCCAGAUGGGAUUAGCUAGUAGGUGGGGUAAUGGCUCACCUAGGCGACGAUCCCUAGCUGGUCUGAGAGGAUGACCAGCCACACUGGAACUGAGACACGGUCCAGACUCCUACGGGAGGCAGCAGUGGGGAAUAUUGCACAAUGGGCGCAAGCCUGAUGCAGCCAUGCCGCGUGUAUGAAGAAGGCCUUCGGGUUGUAAAGUACUUUCAGCGGGGAGGAAGGCGGUGAGGUUAAUAACCUCGCCGAUUGACGUUACCCGCAGAAGAAGCACCGGCUAACUCCCUGCCAGCAGCCGCGGUAAA